GGCCUGCACUCCUCAGCUUGUGCUGCCCGUCUCGAAUGACUGGAGUUUCCUGCUUCUGUCACUACACCUCCCACCCUCUCCCAUCACCUGCUCUGCUCUUACAAGGAUCCGAAGAAAUGGAAUAAUCGUAUCGCUGAUCUAUGUAAACAAAUUGAAGAAUUGUCUGAAAGAAAAUAUGGUAUGUCUAAACUGGAAAAGUCCUGUAAUCUUAUGUUCAUGGGCGUUUACACAAUGGAGUUACUGUUCAUCAUGGGGGUACCGUGGACAAGCCCAGGGCUGCCGGCGAGUCAUGCCAUCCUUACACGUUUCUCCUUGUAA
rnacentral:lncRNA from 10 species